UUUAAAAUACAUUUAACAAAUACAAUCCUUCGGCAAGUAUCCCCUAAUUUCAUAUUAUAAUUGCCAUUACUGUCGUUAGUUACUUAAUGAGUCGAUAAAUAAUGCAAUUGCCACAAGUUAAAAGAUUAGUUCUGUGGAGGGAUUCCAAGGACAGGAACGCGAUAUAAUAAUAAUUUCCACAGUGAGAUCAGAUAAGGAGCAUAUACCUAACGAUGUCAAUGAAGUUCGUAUUAUUUUCCCUCAAGAGAAAGAUACAAAAUUUUAAAGGUUAAACAAAUAUAUUCAAUAAAAUCGUCAAAGGCCUUCGGCUAAAUAUUACUUGAGAGGCUGUUACCGAGCGACAUACGGUCACAAACGUAGGAAUUACGAGCAGAAGACGGGACAUUCGGCAUAAAAGCCCAAGGUCCUCCAUAAGCGUUCUAUUGCGCU